GCUGCCACUGCCGCAUCUGCCUCCCCUUCUCCUCUUCCUCUCUUCUUCCCUUUUCCUUUCUCUUCUUCUUCCUUUCCUUCUCUUCUUUCCCAGCUGCACUGCUGCAGUCGCAGCCUCAGCCAUGGCUGCAGGCUCUUCUUCCUCCCCUGCUUAUCUUCCUCUCCUUCUUCUCUUCCAGCUGCAGUUGCCAUCGCCGCAGCCGCAGCCCCUUCUUCCCCUUCUCUUCUUCCUCUCCUUCCCUUCUUCCUUCCUCUUCCUCUUACCCUGCCACAGCUGCAACUGCCACAGCCGCAGCCACAGCUGCUUCUUUCCCUUCUCCUCUUCCUUCUCCUUCCCUUCUUCUUAUUCUUUUCGUCCUCACCUUCUCUUCCUCUCCNNNNNNNNNNNNNNNNNNNNUCUUUUCUUCUUCUCCUCUUCUUCCUUUCUCCUCCCCAACGCCCCACAGCUCGUCGCUGCAGCCCUCGCUGCAGCCACCUCCUCUUUUAUUCCUCUUCAUCUUCUUCUUC
rnacentral:lncRNA from 1 species